rnacentral:tRNA from 89 species
CGCCGCUUUAGUCCACUCAGCCAUCUCUCC